CGACAAUCUUACCNCUCCUUGUAUAAUAAAUAUUUUCCUUAAGGGAUUGUUUUGACUUUGAGGAACUUUAAUUAAAUAAUAACAUAUAUACUUAUGAUAAGUCUUUAAACUUACUUAUAUAUAUUUGUAAUACGUCAUCUAAACUUAUAUUAAUAAUAAUUCAAUAGUUAUUAUUGAAUCGAUGACAUAAUUGUUGUUAAUGUGAUGGAUAGUAAUAAUAAUUAAAUAUUGUUAUGGGUGUGAGUAACAUUAGUAAUAAUAACUAAUUAUUACCAUUAUAAACCACAGUAAUAAUAAUUGAUUAAAUAAUUAAAUGGAAUGAAUGAUUAAGCAAUUAGUAAUUCAUUAAUAUUUAUUACAGGUGUUGCAUGGCUGUCUUUAGUUCGUGUUGUGAAAUGUUAGGUUAAUUCCGAAAACGAACGCAAUCCUUAUCUUUAUUUAAAACUAUAUAAAGAGGUAUCUUUCCAUAAGAAGGAAUAAUUAGGGUGAAGACAAGUCCUCAUGACCCUUAUGGAGUGGGCUACAGACGUGCCACAAAUAUUUCUACAAAGGGAAGCAAAGAUGAAAGUCUGAGCUAAUCCUCAAAAGAAAUAAAAGUACGGAUNAGANNC
rnacentral:rRNA from 1 species